ACGCUGGCGGCAGGCCUAACACAUGCAAGUCGAGCGGUAACAGGAAUUAGCUUGCUAAUUUGCUGACGAGCGGCGGACGGGUGAGUAAUGCCUGGGAAUAUGCCUUAGUGUGGGGGAUAACUAUUGGAAACGAUAGCUAAUACCGCAUAACGUNUUCGGACCAAAGAGGGGGACCUUCGGGCCUCUCGCGCUAAGAUUAGCCCAGGUGGGAUUAGCUAGUUGGUGAGGUAAAGGCUCACCAAGGCAACGAUCCCUAGCUGGUCUGAGAGGAUGAUCAGCCACACUGGAACUGAGACACGGUCCAGACUCCUACGGGAGGCAGCAGUGGGGAAUAUUGCACAAUGGGGGAAACCCUGAUGCAGCCAUGCCGCGUGUAUGAAGAAGGCCUUCGGGUUGUAAAGUACUUUCAGUCGUGAGGAAGGGUAUGUAGUUAAUAGCUGCRUGCCUUGACGUUAGCGACAGAAGAAGCACCGGCUAACUCCGUGCCAGCAGCCGCGGUAAUACGGAGGGUGCGAGCGUUAAUCGGAAUUACUGGGCGUAAAGCGCAUGCAGGCGGUCUGUUAAGCAAGAUGUGAAAGCCCGGGGCUCAACCUCGGAACCGCAUUUUGAACUGGCAGACUAGAGUCUUGUAGAGGGGGGUAGAAUUUCAGGUGUAGCGGUGAAAUGCGUAGAGAUCUGAAGGAAUACCGGUGGCGAAGGCGGCCCCCUGGACA
rnacentral:rRNA from 1 species